rnacentral:tRNA from 1 species
GCUCAUGUAGCUCAGUGGUAGAGCACUUCCUUGGUAAGGAAGAGGUCACCGGUUCAAUCCCGGUCAUGAGCUCCA